CGAACGGGUGAGUAAUGCGUGACCAACCUGCCCCAUGCUCCAGAAUAGCUCUUGGAAACGGGUGGUAAUGUUGGAUGCUCCAACUUGACGCAUGUCUUGUUGGGAAAGUGUUUAGUGGCAUGGGAUGGGGUCGCGUCCUAUCAGCUUGUAGGCGGGGUAAUGGCCCACCUAGGCUUCGACGGGUAGCCGGCCUGAGAGGGCGGACGGCCACAUUGGGACUGAGAUACGGCCCAGACUCCUACGGGAGGCAGCAGAA
rnacentral:rRNA from 1 species